rnacentral:rRNA from 1 species
CCUACGGGGGGCAGCAGUGAGGAAUAUUGGUCAAUGGGCGCGAGCCUGAACCAGCCAAGUAGCGUGAAGGAUGACUGCCCUACGGGUUGUAAACUUCUUUUAUAUGGGAAUAAACUGUGCCACGUGUGCCCUUUUGUAUGUACGUUAUGAAUAAGGAUCGGCUAACUCCGUGCCAGCAGCCGCGGUAAUACGGAGGAUGCGAGCGUUAACCGGAUUUAUUGGGUUUAAAGGGAGCGUAGGUGGGUUGUUAAGUCAGUUGUGAAAGUUUGCGGCUCAACCGUAGAAUUGCAGUUGAAACUGGCAGUCUUGAGUACAGUAGAGGUGGGCAGAAUUCGUGGUGUAGCGGUGAAAUGCUUAGAUAUCACGAAGAACUCCGAUUGCGAAGGCAGCUCACUGGACUGCCACUGACACUGAGGCUCGAAAGUGUGGGUAGCAAACAGGAUUAGAUACCCCUGUAGUC